AGGAGCCGUAUGAGGUGAAAAUAUCAUGUACGGUUCUGUAGAGUGGCAGUAAGGGUGACUUAUCUUUCAACUUUUCC
rfam:Capsicum annuum cultivar Zunla-1 chromosome 3, whole genome shotgun sequence